rnacentral:rRNA from 1 species
GGUCAGUUUCUAUCUAUGAAGACCCCCUUCCUAGUACGAAAGGACCGGAGGGGGGAGGCCAAUGCCUCCCGCACGCCUCACCCUUACUUGAUGAAGACAACUUAACCACGAAAGAGAAUACACUAUUAUACCCAAGAUAAUGGCAU